UCCUGCAAAUCGCCUAGCUCUGCCAUUGCCGGAGGUCCGUCCGCACCAUCGCAUGGCAGAGGCGGGGGAACCAAUUUCGGGUUUCUGCACAGAAAUCCUUGGGGUUAAGUCGCUUGCUCACGCAGCGGCCGGGUGACUCCCAUCCGAAUCCGACAGCUCACCUCGCAGGCGUUGGGAGAGGCAAU
rnacentral:sRNA from 2 species